ensembl:lncRNA
AACGCUCGUGAACCCUGUUGUAGAGUGCGAAGUCGAGAGAGAGAGAGACAGCAAUUUUUUGAUCCCACAUCCAUAGCUAGUAAAAGUACCGUUUUAUAAUCAUUUUGUGUAAAUAUAUAUUUAACUUAAGUUUUAGUAUUGAUAGUUUAGUUAUUUAGUUGUUAUUGUGUUAUGUUAUAGUGUAGUUUAGUGUAUAGUGUUAUUAGUAUAGUGUAUAGUGUUAUAGUUGAAUAGUUUAGAUUCGUUUUUUGUGAAGGUGGGAAGGAAAGACACCCGAAGGACAUCAUUUGAGAUAUGGCAAACAGUGCUGGAAGAUCUGACGAUCUUAAGAUGUUCAAAAAAAAGGCACACCAUUUUAGGGCUGUAUCCACUGAGCAGAUGUCGUCAGCUGAUCAGAGGCGAGAAUACAACCGGAUCUGGGCAAGGGUGUCAAGAGCCCAGAAAAAGAAUACACGUGAUGGAGAACCAAAUGAGCUGCAGAAUCACAUUGAUCAGGAGAUGUACAGUGAUGAUAGCCCUGGGAGUGGAGGUGGAUGUACCAUCGAAGAGCAGCUGCAUGACGAUACCAACAUUGUCCCUGAGACUGAGUUGGAACAAAUGGAGACAUCAGAGGAUUCCUGUGAUGGUGAUGAGGACAGUGCAGUUGCCUCUUCCUUUAGGGAGCAACUUAAAGAAUGGACCAUUGAUUUUGGAGAGAAACACAAUGCUGUGGAUGCCUUAUUGAAGGUCCUGAAAAAAAAUGGUCAUCCAGAGCUUCCUUCCACUGCAAGAACCUUGUUGGAGAGUACCAAUGAAGUGGAUGUGGAGACUGAGUCUGGAAUGCAGUGUGUUCAGUUUGAUGUUAGAGGGCAGAUUCUGGAACAUCUUAAAAAGUAUCCCCAAGCAGUGCUUGAAAAAUUAGACAGUGUAGACAUCUCCCUGAAUGUCGAUGGCUUGCCUCUUUUUAAAAGCAACAACCAAUCUCUUUGGCCUGUUCUCUGCUGCAUCAAUUUGUCACCUAAAUCUAUUUUCCCCCUGUCUCUGGCUUUGGUGUCAUCCAAACCAACCUCCCUCAACUUCAUCAGCGAAACAGUCAGCAAAUUGGAGAACGUGAUGCA